rnacentral:snRNA from 1 species
GGAUGUGAGGGCGAUCUGAAUGCGACAUCUGUCACCUCAUUGAUCGCCAGGGUUGAUUCGGCUGAUCUGGCUGGCUAGGCGGGUGUCCCCUUCCUCCUUCACUGCUCCAUGUGCGUCCCUCCUGAAGCUGCAUGCUUGGUCGAAGAGGACGACCUUCCCUGAAUAGAGGAGGACAGGUCUUUGGUCAAGGGUAUUCGAGUAGCUGCGAUCCCCUGCUAGAACCUCCAAACAAGCUCUCAAGGUACAGGGAUAUUAUCUGGAGCAAAAUCCAUGUACAAAUCCACACAUACACAUCAUCAUAUGCNACAUUGU